CUCUGGAGAGUUUACUGAGUUUGUCAGAGGUGUUUCUUCUUUACUCUGCUGCUCCUCACAGAUUCUUCUCUGAAAUAAUAUUCAGUAAACAUUAACUAGUGUUCACUAGUUGAACUUUGUUUUUCCUUUUGUUGGACAUAGUUCCAGGUCUGAGUGCUGAUCAGAGGAGGAAGACGGUAAAAUGGCGGCUUUUAGAUCUGCGUCAUUCUUUUUGAUCCAUUUCCUGGUCUGCUCUUCUGAAUCUCAGAAAAACAUCACAGCUAAACGUGGACAGGAUGUCAUUCUACCAUGUAAAGUUCCUGACAACAACAACAUCCACAUCAACAACAUCACAGCUGUAGAGUGGAUCAGACCUGGACUGGAUCCAGAUCUUGUUCUUCUGUACCGGGACAGACACUUAGAUCCAGACAGUCAGCAUCCAUCUUAUCAGAACCGGGUGGAUCUGCAGGACAAAGAGAUGAAGGAUGGAGACGUUUCUCUGAUUCUGAAGAAUGUGAUGAAAAACGACACUGGAACAUAUGAGUGUUGGGUUUUCCAGAAAGGAACAAACCGCAGGAAGAGAUGGAGUUCUGAACCCAUCAGCAUCAACCUGGAAGUUCUUGAACCAGGAGAAAAGUCUGAAGGAGCCAAGGGUGAUAUCAUUGGAGAUGAAGGAAAAGAGAUUGGAAGAGACCAGGUUGGAAUCAGUAGCAAACAUCUUGGAGUAGUGGGUGUGAUACUUCUUGCUGUGUUGGCUUCUGUUGGUUUUCUGAUCUACAGACGACACAUGAGGCAGAAUCCAAAUCUCCCAGUUCCUCCUGAUGAAGCAGCAGUUGAACAGAUUUUAUGAAACAAAGACAUGAAAGUUUUUGUGAACAGCAUCAGAACAAACCAGAGCUUGUGUAACUUUGAUGGAAGCAGCAGCAGCAGAACAAAGAGAAUCCAGGUGUGGACCAACCAUGUGGUCUCUCCUUUAACUGCCACCUUAUCGUGGUGGAGGGUUUGUGAGCUCAGAGGAUGCUGGGAGCUCUGCUGUCUGGAGUUCAGCUCCUGAAAGGGUUUCCCAUGACAGACUGGUCCCAGAUGAUGAGCCAGACUAAGGGCAGUUUUUUCCACCCUGGAACAUUUUCAUCUGACACAUGGUCACAUAGAAUCAGCAAUUUUUAGAAACAGAUCUUGAACCCUCUCAAUCUCAAGUAAAUAAUAACCAAUAUUAACCUCCUGAGACCUGGUGUCUAAAUAUGUGGACAUAAUUGUUCCUUUCAGAAAGAGCAUAAUAAUAAUAACAAUAAUAAUAAUCAUAUAUUAGAUAUUAUUCGGUCCCUGCACAACCAAGGUGAGAGCAGUGUCCGUAUACUCACCACAAAGUCGGUUUCCAGUGGGUGUUGGACUCCUCCUGUCCCUUGUCUCCGAUCCUGUUUGUGGUCUUCAUCGACAGGAUCUCAAAGAUCAGCCAGGGUGAGGAGGGUGUCUGGCUUGGGGCUUUCCAAACAUGUCCACCUGGGAGGAGACCCCGGGGUAGACCCAGAAUUAGCAGGAGGGAUUAUGUAUUUCAUCUGGUCUUGGAACACCUCGGGAUCCCCCAAGAAGAGCUGGAACAACCUGCUUCGACUAUAGUACUAUACUACAGAGUAUAUAUACUAUAUAUAUUCUAUAGUAUAUACUCUCAAUAUACCCCUGAUGAGAAGUUCAUCUCAAACAGAUUUCACAGUUAAUUCAAAAUGGCCGACUUCCUGUUGGGUUUAGAUCCAUCCAUCCAUUCUCUAUCCACCGCUUUAUCCUCAUUAGGGUUGGGGGGGGGUGCUGGAGUCUAUCCCAGCUGACUCUGGUGAAGGCAGGGGACACCCUGGACAGGUCACCAGUCUGUCACAGGGCUACAUAUACAGACAAACAAUCACACUCACAUUCACACCUACGGACAAUUUAGAGUAACCAAUUAACCUCAGCAUGUUUUUGGACUGUGGGAGGAAGCCGGAGUACCCGGAGAAAACCCACGCAUGCACAGGGAGAACAUGCAAACUCCAUGCAGAAAGAUCCCAGGCCCACUGUUGGGUUUAGAUGAUGGCUGUAAUUGACUGUUUUGUGCGCCCUGAUGUGCUUCAUAUCCACACAAAACGUUCAAGAUGAAAUGUGCUAUCCGUAGUAGUGUUCCAAAUGUUGCAAUUAUGUAGGGGGCGCUAUGGAGCCAUUUAAUACUAAACUUUUUGCCGUUCCUGAUGUGUACGCAAAGUUUUACGCAUUUGAGUACUUUUAGGCCAUCAACUAUGCAACUGAAAAGAAAUUAUAAAUAAAUAAAUAAACCCAUGGAUUUCUAUAGAGUCUUCACACCUUUGAUGCUCAGACAAAUAAUAAAAUAACGAAUAAAGACUCAACUGUAAUUAACAGUGAUAUGAAAACUAUUCAGAGUUUAGAUCUAGAUUGAUCCUGUGGAUUGUUGCUGCUGCUGCUGGUCUUCAUCAACUUUUCUACUCUGUUGCUUUGUCUGGAAAUAAAUGUGUUCCAAAGCUCUGCAUGUUAGAACCUGAUGAAAUGAAAUUAGUCAGUAUUUUGUUUAUAUAUGUGUAUAUAGCGUAAUCAUAUAUUGUCUCUUCAAAUUAUUAAAAUAAUUGACUUUGCUGCCAUUAUCUGCUUCUCUAACAUAUAUUAGUGUGUGUGUGUUCACAGUGUUUGCAAAAUACCUGUCUACAGUCGAGCUUAAUUUCAGAAUAUUCUAUUACCCAUUAUUAUUAUUAUCUAUUAAUCCCACUAUGAACAUUAAAAUACGCCGAACCAUUUGUCCUGUAUCAUAGCUACAUGUAUGAUGUUUGCAGCAAAAAAUAAAAAUAAAAACGCGUGAAAAUCAGUUUAAUAUUCAGAGUUAAGAUGGAUUAAAUGCGCUGUCAAACAGCGCUGAGUGGAGCGGAUGACCGGACCAAGAUGGCGGCCCCACCGCUCGUCAGCCCCAAUGGACAGUAGCGGUCGAUGCGGCGUCUACUUUUUAUUAUGUCUAUGUCUGGACAGAAACACAGACUCUUGGAGUGACGCUUGGUGUCGGAAGGAAAAUGUGGACCAGAUUUUCACAAACCUGGCUAAUAAAAAUAAAAUAAUAAUAAUAAAACAACAACAAUAAUAAUAACAUUCAUAAUAAACAUAUUCUAGCAAUGGAGAACACCAGGACUCUGGAUUCUCCCUGUGGUCCUAAAGACUGUUUCAUUGUUUUUGUCAUUGUAUAGAUUGUGGCGGACAGAAAAAGCUUUUUAGAAUGGUACAAAUUCAUUUAUGUAAAAUUUUAUUGUGACUCCUAAUCAUUUUGUAAAUAGUUGUGCAAAAACACCUAAAAAAUUCCUGCAUUUUAGUGCAAAUAGUGGUAUAUAACUGUGUUUACUGCUAAAUGUGUACAUUAUUUUAUGACAAACAAUUUAUAUUUACAUUAUAAGUUCUGAAAAAGAUUCAUUACACAUGUUUAUGGUGUCCACAACAAAAAAAACUUUUUUCUACUCUGACUUUUUUUUUCUGCUAUUUUAGGUCAAGUGUGUCCAUACAUUAUAUCAAAAUGUCUAAAUAGUUAUAGGAUCACACGGGUGAGGUUGUGCUGAAAAAAAGAUACCAAGCAAAGCAAGAUCAACAGCUUUUAAGGUGAAAUAUAGAGGUAAAAUCAGAAUUAGUCAAAAACGGACCUAACCCCCCCCCAGCCCUAAGGGUUAAUGUGUGUUUUAAUGUUUUAUCUGUUAGUAGCUCUGCUGAUGUUUUUACCUUUUAAUGUGGUAAAGGUGGAGAUAAUAUUAUAUAUUUCAGAUAUUAUUGAUACUUUUUAUACUGAUAAGUGUUCUGUGAAUUUGAUCUUCAUCCUAUAUCAUGUUUAGUUGUUAAUCUGCAGAUAAAUGUAGUAAAAUAACAUUGUUUGUUACUGAAAUGUAGUGAAGGUUGAACAGAAUAAACAGAACUUCUACUGAUAGAAUGAACUGAGUUACUUCACAGAAAUGACUGGCUGUUUAUCCUGCAACACAGUGGAAAGAAUGAACUUUAUUGCUGCUUUUAGCACUCUGGCAUUGAUUCUAAUCUGAUUGUCUUUGUUCUUUUACAAUGAUAUCAAAGCUGAAUCUAACCAGUGAUCUGUGGUUCAUUAUAAUUUCUAUGUAGAGUUUUAAAGCUGGUUUCUUCUCUGCAGAAGUGAUAAUAAAGGUUGUUUCUCCAGAUUCUGA